AUAUCUGUUUUUACGAUUGAGAGAUACAAAUUAGAUCCGAUUUAUAAUUGAGUUUCCAUCAAAUCAUGGCAAAGGCAUAUUUAUGUUGUACUACCUAGUGUCAUAAGGCCCCGGGUAGAUUAUUCAAAUCUUAACUAAAUUAUUCUAUAUUAAUUAAAUAAUUUAUAUGCCAGACCUCAGUAAUUUUUGUUAUGCAGCCUGUUCACGGUUUGGGUACAAACCGUUCAACCCGUGAAACCAAACCAACCCAAACCGUUUUUCCAAUUUUUCACGGGUUGGUUUAGAACCGCCGUAACCCGUUGAACCCGUGUCUCGUCCUUCUUCUUCCUCCGGACCUGCGCUGAGCUUCUGCGGUAGCAAGACGCCAUGGCGAAGGCAUCUGAGGCAACCAAGCAAGCAUCGGCUAUUUAGCUCGCACGUAAGUGCACAGCCCCAUAGACGUUGGUGCCGGCGGCGCCGAUGCCGGCGACGACGCCGAGGCAGCCAAACGGCGGCUCCCAUCCGAGGAGGAAACAAUCGCUAGCUCGCCGCGCCGCCGGCGUCCUGCCGUCCUGCUUGCUGCCUGCCUGCCUCCAUCGCUUGGAAAGGCUACGAGCCAUGGUGCAAUCAGCUGCUAUUGAGCUUGGAAGGACAGCCAUGGCUGUGUUGCUGUUCUUCUGAUCCCCUUCUUUCACGUACGCAGGAAGAAAGAAACUUUCUACGGUUUAACCCGUCAAACCCGUUAAAACCAAACCGUAUGAACCGGUAUUUCCGGGUUGGUCCGGCUUUUCUGACCAAACCGCCAAAAACCGUCGAUGAACACCCUGAUUCUCUCUAAUAAAUCAUUAGUAUGGCAUCUGUUGUCAGGUUUGAGCCUGCUGUACUUUACCGGCGCUGCUACUGAGUCCACUUGGAGUCGGCGGGGAAGUCGGGCCAGUUAGACCGACUCGAACACCGGGGCCGCUCCGCCUAUAGUACGUGUGUAUAUAUAGGCACGGUCAUGUUAAAGAAAAAAAACAACAUCCUGUACUCCAUCGACGAUGGAUGUAGAAAUCCCCUCCGACCACCGGGACCUGCUCGUCACCGUCUUCACCGCGCUGGAGAUCCCCGAUCUCAUCUGCCGCGCCGCCUGGGCCUCUGCCGCAACAGCCAUGGCCCCUGCCUCCUCACCACCUCCCCCACCGGCGUCGCCACCCUCCGCCGCCUCUCCACCGGCAACCUCUACCGCGUCCCGCUCCCGGACAUGCCCCCCUCCGCUUGCUCUACGCCGUUCGCAGCUGCGCUAUAUUGUUCGGGCACCAUGGGGUGACAUCCUCCAGGUGUGGAGGAGCUUUGAGCUCGACGAUGGCGAGGAGCCCCGCACAUAUGAACUCGCGGUGUUCAAGCUUGAUCUUGCUACGGAGGAUCUAGUGCAGAUAAAGGAUCUGCGUGGCCACGCUCUGUUUGUUAGCUUCUUCGUUUCUGUGAAUGAAUUCCCCGUGUUAACUCCGAAUUGCGUCUACCUUGCUCAUGAUAGCACCAAGUGUAGGAGAUUUAAGCAUAUUGCAAAGGCGGUCAGGGUGUACAACUUACAAGAUGAUACUUUCGCUGAUCAGUACACUCAGAGUUCCUGGAAGAACUGCCCCCCUCCUGCUCUUUGGUUUCAGCCUACAUGGUCACUGAACAAAUAAUAAUAAAGCAUAAGAAUGGAGCAAGUCAACAUGGAAAUAUUGAAAUUCCUCAAGAUGUAUGGUGAUAUUCAAUUAAUGCCGUUUGUUGACUACUAUACCUUGAUAACUCUGAAGACCAUUGCCAUUUCCAUGUUUGGGGUAUGUAUCCUCUCUCAGUUCAUCUUAUAGGAACUUAUUCUGCCUCUACUUUGUAAACCAUCAUAACUAGAUAGUCAUGAUUUUGUUGAUAAAAAGUCAUGAUUUUGUUGAUAAAAAGUAUCUGAAGGUAUCUUGAAAGCAUGUGCUAGGUCUUAUAUGCCUUUUAUUGUUUAGAUGAUUAAAAAACGAUGUUUGGCCAGGUUUGUCACUCUGAGAAAAGCAAGGUCACAUGUAGAUUGAAUUAUAGAUGUCCACGGACAAUGUUAUCCAUCUAAAAUGCUCUGAUAUUUGUGCAAGAAAAUUAUUAGCAGAUGUGAAUCUAUCAUUUGCUUUGGAAGUUUUGACUCAAGGAUGACUCAGAUGGACAGAGGUUUUACUUGUUUUGCUAAAUUGUGUUAAAAACAUUAGAGCCUUGAUCUGAGUGGAGAAUUGCAAUAUUGGUAUGUCACGACUCACAUCUCUGCCCUAUCAGAUGCCGGAAUUAGCUGUUAAAAACUUAAAAAUAGUGAUGGAUUGUUUAUUUUUCUGUGCAGAUUUACUUGUUAUAUUUUUGACAAUCUUUUUGCACCCUUGUGCAUUGUAUUGAACCUAUUCGUUUCAUCGAUUCCUGGGCUCAGCAAGAUAGAUUGUUCUUUAGCCCACUGAACAAGUACUACCUAGUAUGGUCGCAUGUCCAAAUAAUCGAUGUUGGAAAUGGAGCACCGAGUACAGUGCACUGGCUUAUAUUACCCAACCCAGUGAAUGCUUGUUUGCUCCUGGCAGAUAUUAAUACUUUUGAAACUAUUGACUGUGUUGCCUGUGUGGCUCUGAUGUCAACAUAUAGGAUAAAGGAUGGUAGUGUUUUUUCUUUUAGGGUUUAGGUUUUUUUUUUGUUUUUUGUUUUUUUUUUUUUGCAAACUAUGCUACUUCUACUUUCCAGUAUACGAAUAGUGUGGCAUGACUAUGUAGCUUUUAACACUAUCAGAAGGAAUAAUUGAGUUGUAAAUUUUUUUUGUCAGCGCAUCUUUUGACAGACUAAUUGAACAGGUUGAGGCACCAGGCAUUUCUGCAUUGCUACUUUGUUGGGACAAGAUAGAACUUUGCCAUCAUUUGCUUUGGCACACAUGAUUGCGUACAUGAAGUAAUCCAUAAACCUUCAUGGAUGUAGCAAAGCUUUCAGAAUAGACCCAUCAACCUUCUUUCAUCAGCCAAUAACUAGUUAGAUCCUACCCAAAUUCACU